UCCUACGGGAGGCAGCAGUGAGGAAUAUUGGUCAAUGGUCGGGAGACUGAACCAGCCAAGCCGCGUGAGGGAGGAAGGUACAGAGUAUCGUAAACCUCUUUUGUCAGGGAACAAAGACUGGGACGCGUCUCCGGAUGAGUGUACCUGAAGAAAAAGCAUCGGCUAACUCCGUGCCAGCAGCCGCGGUAAUACGGAGGAUGCGAGCGUUAUCCGGUUUUAUUGGGUUUAAAGGGUGCGCAGGCGGUCUGUUAAGUCAGCGGGCAAAAGCCGGGGCUCAAACCCGGCCCGCCGAUGAGACUGGCAGG
rnacentral:rRNA from 1 species